AUUGAACGCUGGCGGAAUGCUUUACACAUGCAAGUCGGACGGUAGAGGGGGCAACCCCUCGAGAGUGGCGAACGGGUGAGUAAUAUAUCGGAACGUGCCCAGUCGUGGGGGAUAACGUAGCGAAAGUUACGCUAAUACCGCAUACGAUCUAAGGAUGAAAGCGGGGGAUCGCAAGACCUCGCGCGAUUGGAGCGGCCGAUAGCAGAUUAGGUAGUUGGUGGGGUAAAGGCUCACCAAGCCAACGAUCUGUAGCUGGUCUGAGAGGACGACCAGACACACUGGCACUGAGACACGGACCAGACUCCUACGGGAGGCAGCAGUGGGGAAUUUUGGACAAUGGAGGCAAGUCUGAUCCAGCCAUUCCGCGUGCAGGAUGAAGGCCCUCGGGUUGUAACCUGCUUUUGUACGGAACGAAAAGGUCUCUCUUAAUACGGGGGACUCAUGACGGUACCGUAAGAAUAAGCACCGGCUAACUACGUGCCAGCAGCCGCCGUAACAC
rnacentral:rRNA from 1 species